rnacentral:rRNA from 1 species
AUUGAACGCUGGCGGCAGGCCUAACAUGCAAGUCGAACGGUAACAGGAAGCAGCUUGCUGCUUUGCUGACGAGUGGCGGACGGGUGAGUAAUGUCUGGGAAACUGCCUGAUGGAGGGGGAUAACUACUGGAAACGGUAGCUAAUACCGCAUAACGUCGCAAGACCAAAGAGGGGGACCUUAGGGCCUCUUGCCAUCGGAUGUGCCCAGAUGGGAUUAGCUAGUAGGUGGGGUAACGGCUCACCUAGGCGACGAUCCCUAGCUGGUCUGAGAGGAUGACCAGCCACACUGGAACUGAGACACGGUCCAGACUCCUACGGGAGGCAGCAGUGGGGAAUAUUGCACAAUGGGCGCAAGCCUGAUGCAGCCAUGCCGCGUGUAUGAAGAAGGCCUUCGGGUUGUAAAGUACUUUCAGCGGGGAGGAAGGGAGUAAAGUUAAUACCUUUGCUCAUUGACGUUACCCGCAGAAGAAGCACCGGCUAACUCCGUG